GAAGGGUAUAGUGGUGUUACUGCUAAUAACACAGAGAGUCUAAAUAACUCAUCUUUCU
rnacentral:tRNA from 1 species